GAUGAAGAACGUAGCGAAAUGCGAUAAGUAAUGUGAAUUGCAGAAUUCAGUGAAUCAUCGAAACUUUGAACGCACAUUGCGCCCCCUGGUAUUCCGGGGGGCAUGCCUGUUCGAGCGUCAUUUCACCACUCAAGCCUCGCUUGGUAUUGGGCAACGCGGUCCGCCGCGUGCCUCAAAUCGACCGGCUGGGUCUUCUGUCCCCUAAGCGUUGUGGAAACUAUUCGCUAAAGGGUGUUCGGGAGGCUACGCCGUAAAACAACCCCAUUUCUAAGGUUGACCUCGGAUCAGGUAGGGAUACCCGCUGAACUUAAGCAUAUCAAUAAGCGGAGGA
rnacentral:misc_RNA from 1 species